CUACGGGUUGCUGCAGUGAGGAAUAUUGCACAAUGGGGGGAACCCUGAUGCAGCAACGCCGCGUGGAGGAUGACGCAUUUCGGUGUGUAAACUCCUUUUAUAUGUCAAGAAAAUGACGGUAGCAUAUGAAUAAGCACCGGCUAACUCCGUGCCAGCAGCCGCGGUAAUACGGAGGGUGCAAGCGUUACUCGGAAUCACUGGGCGUAAAGGACGCGUAGGCGGGUUGGAAAGUCAGGUGUGAAAUCCUACAGCGUAACUGUAGAACUGCACUUGACACUUCUAAUCUAGAGUAUGGGAGGGGGAGAUGGAAUUAGUGGUGUAGGGGUAAAAUCCGUAGAUAUCACUAGGAAUACCUAAAGCGAAGGCGAUCUCCUGGAACAUUACUGACGCUAAGGCGUGAAAGCGUGGGGAGCAAACAGGAUUAGAUACCCCUGUAGUC
rnacentral:rRNA from 1 species